GAGUAAAUGAUAAAGAGCAUUUGAUGGAUGCCUUGGCGUUAAGAGGCGAUGAAAGACGUGGUAGGCUGCGAUAAGCUGGGGGAUUGUAAAGAAUUUUGAUCCGCAGAUUUCUGAAUGGGGAAACCCAAUCAAUUUAUUGAUUAUUGUAUAUUGAUUAAUUGGUUUUCCAGGGGAAACUUGUGGAAUUGAAAAUUUUAAUAAGUAGGGGGAAAGGAAAUCAAAGGGGCCCCGUUAAGUGGGGAGGGGGGAUGGGGGCCAAGGCAAUGGGUCCUAAGUUAAAAUUAGAAUACUUUGGAAAGAGUAGCCAUAGAUGGUGAUAGCCCAGUAUAAGUAAAAAGAUUAUGGAUCGUAGGGCGGGACACGUGGUACAUCCUGUCUGAAUAUGGGGGGACCAUCCUCCAAGGCUAAAUACUCCUGACUGACCGAUAGUGAACCAGUACCGUGAGGGAAAGGCGAAAAGAACCCCGGCGAGGGGAGUGAAAUAAGAACCUGAAACCGUGUACGUACAAGCAGUGGGAGCCUACCUUUGUGGGGUGACUGCGUACCUUUUGUAUAAUGGGUCAGCGACUUAUAUUCUGUAGCAAGGUUAACCGUAUAGGGGAGCCGUAGGGAAACCGAGUCUUAACUGGGCGUUAAGUUGCAGGGUAUAGACCCGAAACCCGGUGAUCUAGCCAUGGGCAGGUUGAAGGUUGGGUAACACUAACUGGAGGACCGAACCGACUAAUGUUGAAAAAUUAGCGGAUGACUUGUGGCUGGGGGUGAAAGGCCAAUCAAACCGGGAGAUAGCUGGUUCUCCCCGAAAGCUAUUUAGGUAGCGCCUCGUGAACUCAUCUUCGGGGGUAGAGCACUGUUUCGGCUAGGGGGCCAUCCCGGCUUACCAAACCGAUGCAAACUCCGAAUACCGAAGAAUGUUAUCACGGGAGACACACGGCGGGUGCUAACGUCCGUCGUGAAGAGGGAAACAACCCAGACCGCCAGCUAAGGUCCCAAAGUCAUGGUUAAGUGGGAAACGAUGUGGGAAGGCAUAGACAGCCAGGAUGUUGGCUUAGAAGCAGCCAUCAUUUAAAGAAAGCGUAAUAGCUCACUGGUCGAGUCGGCCUGCGCGGAAGAUGUAACGGGGCUAAACCAUGCACCGAAGCUGCGGCAGCGACGCUAAGUGUUGUUGGGUAGGGGAGCGUUCUGUAAGCCGUUGAAGGUGAGCUGUGAGGGUUGCUGGAGGUAUCAGAAGUGCGAAUGCUGACAUAAGUAACGAUAAAGCGGGUGAAAAGCCCGCUCGCCGGAAGACCAAGGGUUCCUGUCCAACGUUAAUCGGGGCAGGGUGAGUCGACCCCUAAGGCGAGGCCGAAAGGCGUAGUCGAUGGGAAACAGGUUAAUAUUCCUGUACUCGGUGUUACUGCGAAGGGGGGACGGAGAAGGCUAUGUCUAGCCGGGCGACGGUUGUCCCGGUUUAAGCAUGUAGGCGGAGUGACCUUAGGUAAAUCCGGUUACUUAUAACGCUGAGGUGUGAUGACGAGGCACUACGGUGCUGAAGUAAUAGAAUGCCAUGCUUCCAGGAAAAGCCUCUAAGCAUCAGGUAACACAGAAUCGUACCCCAAACCGACACAGGUGGUCAGGUAGAGAAUACCAAGGCGCUUGAGAGAACUCGGGUGAAGGAACUAGGCAAAAUGGUGCCGUAACUUCGGGAGAAGGCACGCUGGUGCGUAGGUGAAGAGACUUGCUCACGGAGCUGAAAUCCAGUCGAAGAUACCAGCUGGCUGCAACUGUUUAUUAAAAACACAGCACUGUGCAAACACGAAAGUGGACGUAUACGGUGUGACGCCUGCCCGGUGCCGGAAGGUUAAUUGAUGGGGUUAGCCGCAAGGCGAAGCUCUUGAUCGAAGCCCCGGUAAACGGCGGCCGUAACUAUAACGGUCCUAAGGUAGCGAAAUUCCUUGUCGGGUAAGUUCCGACCUGCACGAAUGGCGUAAUGAUGGCCAGGCUGUCUCCACCCGAGACUCAGUGAAAUUGAACUCGCUGUGAAGAUGCAGUGUACCCGCGGCAAGACGGAAAGACCCCGUGAACCUUUACUAUAGCUUGACACUGAACAUUGAGCCUUGAUGUGUAGGAUAGGUGGGAGGCUUUGAAGCGUGGACGCCAGUCUGCGUGGAGCCAACCUUGAAAUACCACCCUUUAAUGUUUGAUGUUCUAACUCAGACCCGUAAUCCGGGUUGAGGACAGUGUCUGGUGGGUAGUUUGACUGGGGCGGUCUCCUCCCAAAGAGUAACGGAGGAGCACGAAGGUUAGCUAAUCCUGGUCGGACAUCAGGAGGUUAGUGCAAAGGCAUAAGCUAGCUUGACUGCGAGAGUGACGGCUCGAGCAGGUACGAAAGCAGGUCUUAGUGAUCCGGUGGUUCUGAAUGGAAGGGCCAUCGCUCAACGGAUAAAAGGUACUCCGGGGAUAACAGGCUGAUACCGCCCAAGAGUUCAUAUCGACGGCGGUGUUUGGCACCUCGAUGUCGGCUCAUCACAUCCUGGGGCUGAAGUAGGUCCCAAGGGUAUGGCUGUUCGCCAUUUAAAGUGGUACGCGAGCUGGGUUUAGAACGUCGUGAGACAGUUCGGCCCCCCUCUCCCCGGGGGGGGGGGGGGGGGGGGGGGGGUGCCCCUAGUACGAGAGGACCGGAGUGGACGCACCACUGGUGUUCGGGUUGUCAUGCCAAUGGCAUUGCCCGGUAGCUAAGUGCGGAAAAGAUAAGCGCUGAAAGCAUCUAAGCGCGAAACUUGCCUCGAGAUGAGUCUUCCCUGGGCCUUUAAGGUCCCUGAAGGAACGUUGAAGACUACGACGUUGAUAGGCUGGGUGUGUAAGCGCUGUGUUAGUUAGAAAUUUAUAUCUUAUAAAGUACUUUA
rnacentral:rRNA from 1 species